UACGGAGGGGGCUAGCGUUGUUCGGAAUUACUGGGCGUAAAGCGCACGUAGGCGGCUUUGUAAGUUAGAGGUGAAAGCCCAGGGCUUAACCCUGGAAUUGCCUUUAAGACUGCAUCGCUAGAAUUGUGGAGAGGUAAGUGGAAUUCCGAGUGUAGAGGUGAAAUUCGUAGAUAUUCGGAAGAACACCAGUGGCGAAGGCGACUUACUGGACACAUAUUGACGCUGAGGUGCGAAAGCGUGGGGGGCAAACAGG
rnacentral:rRNA from 1 species